rnacentral:sRNA from 1 species
UAUUUAUAAGAUCUUUGAUACAUGCAAAAUAUUGGAAAACAAUGUCCGAACAUAUAAUGUUCGCCCCAAAAUAUAGCAAAGACCACAAAAAUGCCAUAAAAAGUACAUUAAGGUCAAAAUUUGGAGUAGGAAAAAAACCAAUAAGAGAAUUCCAUUUUCCUUCCCUCAUUCAUCGGAGAUCUCUCUUUGGGCAUUCCAAAAAGGUAUCACAUGCCAAGUUUGGCCUCACGGUCUAAAAGUUAUAGAGUAAUACAUUUUUAACAAAAAAAAAAGAGAAAAACCGAAAAAAAGAGGGAUGCAACACGAAGACUUUUCUGGAGGUCACCCAUCCUAGUACUACUCUCCCCCAAGCACGCUUAACUGUGGUGUUCUGAUAGGAUCAAGUGCAUUAGUGCUGGUAUGAUCGCAUCAGUUACUACAUGUAAUGCAAUCAUAUAUAUUCUUUUUUGAAGACUUUAUGAUCCAUUUGCCGUAGGUCCCACCAGCUAUGUAGGAAUACCCUAUCUCGUUUAUAAGAGCUUUGAUACAUGCAAAAUAUUCGAAAACAAUGUCCGAACAUAUAAUGUUUGCCCCAAAAUAUAGCAAAGACCACGAAAAUGCCAUAAAAAGUACAUUAAGGUCAAAAUUUGGAGUAGGAAAAAAAAUCAAUAGGAGAAUUCCAUUUUCCUUCCUCAUUCAUCGGAGAGCUCUCUUUGGGCAUUCCAAAAAGGUAUGACAUGCCAAGUUUGGCCUCACGGUCUAAAAGUUAUAGAGUAAUACAUUUUUAACAAAAAAAAAAGAGAAAAACCGAAAAAAAGAGGGAUGCAACACGAAGACUUUUCUGGAGGUCAUCCAUCCUAGUACUACUCUCCCCCAAGCACGCUUAACUGUGGUGUUCUGAUAGGAUCAAGUGCAUUAGUGCUGGUAUGAUCGCAUCAGUUACUACAUGCAAUGCAAUCAUAUAUAUUCUUUUUUGAAGACGUUAUGAUCCAUUUGCCGUAGGUCCCACCAGCUAUGUAGGAAUACCCUAUCUUGUUUAUAAGAGCUUUGAUACAUGCAAAAUAUUCGAAAACAAUGUCCGAACAUAUAAUUUUUGUCCCGUAAUAUAGCAAAGAUCACGAAAAGGCCAGAAAAAAUACAUUUUGGUCAAAAUUUGGAGUAGAAAAAAAACCCUUCCUCAUUCAUUGGACAGCUCUCUUUGGGCUUUCCGAAAAGGUAUCACAUGCCAAGUUUGGCCUCACGGUCUAAAAGUUAUAGAGUCAUACAUUUUUCACAAAAAAAAGAAGAGAAAAACCAAAAAAAAGAGUGAUGAAACACGAGGACUUUCCUGGAGGUCACCCAUCCUAGUACUACUCUCGCCCAAGCACGCUUCACUGCGAAGUUCUGAUGGGAUCUGGUGCAUUAGUGCUGGUAUGAUCGCAUCUGUUACUACAUGCAAUGCAAUCAUAUCUAUUCUUUUUUGAAGAUUUUAUGAUUCAUUUACCGUGGGUCCCACCAGCUAUGUAGGAAUAACCUAUCUUAUUUAUAAGAGCUUUGAUACAUGCAAAAUAUUGGAAAACAAUGUCCGAACAUAUAAUGUUCGCCCCAAAAUAUAGCAAAGACAACAAAAAUGCCAUAAAAAG